GGCGAACGCUGGCGGCGUGCUUAACACAUGCGAGUCGAACGGAAAGGCCCUGCUUUUGUGGGGUGCUCGAGUGGCGAACGGGUGAGUAACACGUGAGUAACCUGCCCUUGACUUUGGGAUAACUUCAGGAAACUGGGGCUAAUACCGGAUAGGAGCUCCUGCUGCAUGGUGGGGGUUGGAAAGUUUCGGCGGUUGGGGAUGGACUCGCGGCUUAUCAGCUUGUUGGUGGGGUAGUGGCUUACCAAGGCUGUGACGGGUAGCCGGCCUGAGAGGGUGACCGGCGACAUUGGGACUGAGAUACGGCCCAGACUCCUACGGGAGGCAGCAGUGGGGAAUAUUGCACAAUGGGCGGAAGCCUGAUGCAGCAACGCCGCGUGCGGGAUGACGGCCUUCGGGUUGUAAACCGCUUUCGCCUGUGACGAAGCGUGAGUGACGGUAAUGGGUAAAGAAGCACCGGCUAACUACGUG
rnacentral:rRNA from 1 species